rnacentral:rRNA from 1 species
AAACUUUCAACAAUGGAUCUCUUGGCUCUUGCAUCGAUGAAGAACGCAGUGAAGUGCGAUAUGUAGUGUGAAUUGCAGAAUUCCGUGGAAUCAUCGAAUCUUUGAACGCAUAUUGCACUCUCUGGUAUUCCGGAGAGUAUGCCUAUUUGAGGGUCAUGUG